rnacentral:rRNA from 1 species
CCUACGGGUGGCAGCAGUGAGGAAUAUUGGUCAAUGGGCGAGAGCCUGAACCAGCCAAGUCGCGUGAAGGAUGAAGGCUCUAUGGUUUGUAAACUUCUUUUAUAUGGGAAUAAAGUGAGGAACGUGUGCCUUUUUGUAUGUACCUUAUGAAUAAGCAUCGGCUAACUCCGUGCCAGCAGCCGCGGUAAUACGGAGGAUGCGAGCGUUAUCCGGAUUUAUUGGGUUUAAAGGGUGCGUAGGUGGUUUAUUAAGUCAGCUGUGAAAGUUUGUGGCUCAACCAUAAAAUUGCAGUUGAUACUGGGUGUCUUGAGUAUAGUUGAGGUAGGCGGAAUUCGUGGUGUAGCGGUGAAAUGCAUAGAUAUCACGAAGAACUCCGAUUGCGAAGGCAGCUUACUAAACUAUAACUGACAUUGAUGCACGAAAGCGUGGGGAUCAAACAGGAUUAGAUACCCGGGUAGUC